rnacentral:rRNA from 1 species
AUAGAUACCCCACUAUGCUUAGCCCUAAAUCUUGACACUUACCUCACCGAAGUGUCCGCCUGAGAACUACGAGCACAAACGCUUAAAACUCUAAGGACUUGGCGGUGCUCCAAACCCACCUAGAGGAGCCUGUUCUAUAAUCGAUGAUCCACGAUACACCCGGCCUCCCCUUGCCAUGGACAGCCUACAUACCGCCGUCGCCAGCCCACCUCUACUGAAAGAACAGUAGUGAGCAUAGUAGCCCUAAUCCCGCUAACAAGACAGGUCAAGGUAUAGCCCAUGGGGAGGAAAGAAAUGGGCUACAUUUUCUAGAAUAGAAAACCAACGAAAAGGGUCUAUGAAACUACCCCUAGAAGGCGGAUUUAGCAGUAAAGCAGGGCAAUAAUACCUUCUUUAAGUUGGCUCUAGAGCACGUACAUACCGCCCGUCACCCUCCUCAUAAACAACUACCCCAAAUAACUAAUACACCCCACCAGUCAAAGACGAGGUAAGUCGUAACAAGGUAAGUGUACCGGAAGGUGCACUUAGCACAACAAGACGUA